AUUAUUCUGGGUAUUGUUUGUUUGUCAGCUGGUGGAUGUGUUCCACCUGUAGUUAUGUCUUUCAUCUCAGUGCCUCUUCUACUCCUUGCUUUUCCCCUGCUAGCAGAGUAGAAAGAAAUGUGUUUGCCUUCUGUAACAUUUAUUAUCAAAUUCAAACAGAAAACACUGAACUGUAGUACUGCCUGAGUAACCUGGUGUGAUACACCCACGCAGGAGGAGAGCAGUUUCUUUCUCUUUAGAGAGCAGAAUCAAGGGAGAAAAGUAUCAAAAGUGCAGUGGGGCCAGACAGGAGCCUGUGCUUGAGGUGAGAGCACCCAGCGAUUGGCACAGCCUGGUACCAAGUGCAUGAAGAUCAGCAAUGCUGCCACAGUGUCACUGUGCCAGGAGCAGGAUGCAUGAGGGUUCAGGACACAGCUUGUACUGCCACGAAAGCCACUCUGCCUUUAAAAAGCCGGGAGAAAUAAGAUUUAUUUUAGUCAGUAAAGUGAACAAACACCACCUGUGAACCACUCAGGAAGCUGACCUGUGCUAGAAGAGAGAUGGAGGAACUCUUUCAGUGAACUGCAUGGGACUUUCAGAACAUAAGUAGAACUCAAAUGAAGACAAGAGUGGCUCUUUAUUACAUCUCUUUUUCACAGUAAAUGCAACUUCUGGAAAGUUCAGAGCCCGUAAGAGUGAGGCCUUUUCCAUGUAUGUUGGAAAGCAGGUUUUUGCCAGCAAAGUCAAACAGCAUGUGCCAAGGAGACAGUGCCUUCCCACUUUGUCCUUCAAGAUGUACUGUGCUGGAUUUCCUGCACAUGGAUGACAGUUAAAAAUAAAGUCAAGAAUUAUGUACUA